CUGGGAAGUAAAGUCACAUCCUGUAACACCGAGCACUGUCCAGUGGCACCGUGUUCCCAGGUCCCAGGAACAGUGUUCAGCAGCUGUGGGCCAUCCUGCCCUCGCUCCUGUGAUGACCUUACUCACUGUGAGUGGCACUGUGAGCCAGGAUGCUACUGUACAGAGGGAAAAGUCCUGUCUGCUAAUGGGACCGUCUGUUUAGAGAAGGAGGAUUGUCCCUGCCUGGACCUGAACACCGCACGACGGCUGGAACCUGGAGACACCAUUGAAGCCAUUGAUGGAUGCAACAACUGCACCUGCGAAGGUGGGAAAUUCAACUGUACUCGAAACCCUUGUCCAGUGUCAGGUGGCUGGUGUGAGUGGUCAGAGUGGACGCCCUGCUCCAGGACCUGUGGAGCAGAGUCAGUGACCCGAUACAGAAGCUGCAGCUGUCCUGAACCAGAGGCCGGAGGAGAGCCGUGCUCUGGUGAGCAGGAAGUGCACAGCGGGGUUGGAGUGCAGAUCCACAG